CUGUAUUUGAAAUUUUUAAUUUUUUGUAAUUUACAUUUAUGUUAUAGAGAGAUUUUCAGAAUAUAAUGCUGAAUUUGAGAAAUUAAAAGCUGAAGAACUUCAUUUGAAGUCAGAUAAACAGGAUAAAAUUGAAGAAUGUGAAAAGGCAAAACAACGGUUAGAUGAAUAUCAUGAAAAUAUGCAUAAUAUAUUACAGCUGACUGAAUCUUUAGAAGCAAAACUGAAUAUAGAAGAGGAAAAAACCAAAGAAUAUGAACGAUUAUUAGUUACUCAACAGUCUAAUGAUGAAAAAAUUGUGGAAUUUGAUAAAGCUAUUAAUUAUUUUCAAUCAAGAUUAGGACUGAAAUU